rnacentral:lncRNA from 1 species
UGCUUCCCAUAUCCAAGCCAUCCACAAAACCUGGAUUCCUUUAAUUAUAAGCUUCUCAAAGUAAUGUAAAAUACUAAAAAUCAUCUUCCGAAAUUGAUCAAUAUUCAAUUUAAUAAACAAGUAUUGUAAUACCUGCCGCUAAAGCCACUAUGUUUUUCAGGGUGCCACAAAGUUCUACUCCUUCCACAUCUUGAACCUGUCAGAAAAUUUCAACAUUGAAUGGAAGUAACCGAAUUCAAACUGUAUUCCCCUGGUGAGUUUUUGCUUUCCAACUGUAUCUUUCAAUGUAAUUUGGAAAUAUCUUCUCUGUUUCCUUUUCAAUUUAUUCAUUCAAAUAUUUAAUGUAUGCUCAAGAAAAACUCACGGCGGAUACUAUAAAAUAGUCAGUUGUGAACAGUUCAACCCAUCUACGAGCAACUUUUUUGUCCUGGUUAUACCCAAUUGUGGCUUCACUGAAUCUCUUCAUUCCAAUCUGCAUCACAUUAAUCGCAUUAUCCCAAAUAGAGACCAGUCUGUGGAGAAUUUAGAUAUAAAGGCAGUGUGUAUCUACCAUUCUACCUACCUCUUGAGCAAUAUUUGCACCCAUAAGAACACAGCAACUUGUCCCAAGCAUUUUGGUUAUGUACUUUGAAAUCAUGCUUGGUCCUUCAGUUUUUACCUCCAUUCCUUUGAUGAGGGAGAUGGCCUCCACGCCACUCCCUAUUUUCCCAACAAGCUUGCCACAUACAUCUUCAACAAACUGAUGUGGCACUACAAAAACCAACAUGUCUGCACCUUCCACUGUGGAACAAUCCAUGAAUAAAACAGUUGAUUUCGCAGAUUUUGAUAUUUGAAUUGAUAUGUAUGUAACAGUAGUACUUACCUGCAUGCUCAAGGUCAGGAUCAGCAAUGACAUCGCCCCCAAGCUUGAUGCCCGGAAGAUACCUUACAUUCUCCUGAUAAUCAAAAACCAAACAAAAAUUCCAUGGUAAAUUAGAUCAUAACAGCACUGCAUCAGUUUCAAUUCCAUGGUAAAUUCUUAUUACAUUUUUUGCAUUGAUGGUAUCUGUGAGCUUACUACCAUCUGGUAGAGUUUCUUCAUGCACCCACAUCCUUACUUCAUCUGUGAUCCCACAGUUUACUAAGAUUUAUUAACAGAAUUCUGUUUGAUAUUUUGUGAAAUAAAGUAGAAGAAAAGUAUAUAAAAUAAAGUUUGCUUGCAGGAAUCCAUCCUAGCUAGUAUCCUACCAUGGAAAGAGGGCAUUGUGAUGGUGUUAGAAGCAAUAAGCUUUGCAGCGACACUCCCCCAGUUACCACUUCCGAUGACUGCCACGCGA